GAGGAUGUAACUCAGUCGGCAGUGUUCGCCUAGCGUGCGUGAAGUCCUGGGUUCGAUCCCCGGCGUCCCCU
rnacentral:tRNA from 1 species